UGGUACACACCGUCCCAUCCAAUGGAGAGUUGGACCCUGGUGAGUAACACGUAUCCCAGCUGCCGCUUACUCGGGGAUAGCCUUUCGAAAGAAAGAUUAAUACCCGAUGGUAUAAAGAGUUCGCAUGUUCUCUUUAUUAAAGAAUUUCGGUAAGCGAUGGGGAUGCGUUCCAUUAGAUNGUUGGCGGGGUAACGGCCCACCAAGUCUACGAUGGAUAGGGGUUCUGAGAGGAAGGUCCCCCACAUUGGAACUGAGACACGGUCCAAACUCCUACGGGAGGCAGCAGUGAGGAAUAUUGGUCAAUGGACGAGAGUCUGAACCAGCCAAGUAGCGUGAAGGAUGACUGCCCUAUGGGUUGUAAACUUCUUUUAUAAGGGAAUAAAGUGAGGGACGUGUCCCUUUUUGUAUGUACCUUAUGAAUAAGGAUCGGCUAACUCCGUGCCAGCAGCCGCGGUAAUACGGAGGAUCCAAGCGUUAUCCGGAUUUAUUGGGUUUAAAGGGAGCGUAGGUUGACAUAUAAGUCAGCUGUGAAAGUUUACGGCUCAACCGUGAAAUUGCAGUUGAUACUGUAUGUCUUGAGUGUACAAGAGGUGGGCGGAAUUCGUGGUGUAGCGGUGAAAUGCUUAGAUAUCACGAAGAACUCCAAUUGCGAAGGCAGCUCACUGGGGUACAACUGACACUGAGGCUCGAAAGUGUGGGUAUCAAACAGGAUUAGAUACCCUGGUAGUCC
rnacentral:rRNA from 1 species